rnacentral:lncRNA from 1 species
GCGAUAUUUACAUUGCAGAACUAGUGUAAUAUUUAUAGGACUAGAGCAAUAUUUAGUCUCAGUUUCCUGCCCCUCAGCUCUAUAUCACCUAUAGUCCUAUCUGACACUUCAACCCUAAUUCACCAGCCUCCCCAAACUACGAGUUGUUUUACCAUUUCAGUUUGUGAUUUAAUCUAUCUUGUAUGCCCCCAGGCUGGUGACCUUGGGUUACUCUUUGAUCGUUCCUUUUCCCUUAACAAUCCAUCAAUUACCACAUCCCUUAGAUUCUGCCAUUAUCUUACCCCUCCAAAACCACUCUUAUUUAAACCCACAUUAAUCCCCAUCUGAAAUAUUCUGGCAACUUCCUCUCCCUCCUCCCUAUCUCCCAUCUCUCUCCCUUCUGAGUCAUCUUAUGAAAAUAAUUACUCUUCCUCAAGCACAGCUGUGAUUAGAUAAAUUUUUUUCCAAACCCUCAAUGGGUCCCUACUGACUGACAAAUUAUGUAUAAAUUGCUCACCCUAGUAGUUAGUCUUUUACCUUAUCCCCAACUCUUCCCUACUCUACCUUACACAUCAAUCAAACAAGCUGACAUCUAGUAACUUCUUCACCUUCAUGUUUCUUCUCAUGUUGUUCCCUCUACCUAAAAAGUCUGGAAUGCUUUUCCCCGUUCCUUAAGGUCCACAUGAUAAACUACUGCUCAUCAUCCUUAAAGGGCAGCUUGAACAUCACCAUCUUCACAUGGCCUUUCCACCACAGGGGAGCCUAUCCUCUUUGACCUCCCAUCACUCAAGGUUUGUACCUCUCUUGAGUUUGAU